ensembl:lincRNA
UUCAACUCUUAAGAAUAUUCUUAAAUAAUAAAAUUAAAAUGAAUUAUAAUUUUUGUUGGUUGGGAAAAAGAAUAGACACACACGUGACAGUGUAUCACUUCACCUCAUCAUUUCAUCUCAUCAUUUCAUCUCAUUUCAUCAUUUCAUCUCAUCAUUUCAUCUCAUUUUAUCUCAUCAUAUCAUCUCAUCAUUUCAUCAAAUCUCAUCUCAUUUCCAUUUCAUUUUCAUUAUUUCAUUUCACUAUUUCAUUUAAUUUCAUCUAAUUUCAUUUAUUUCAUUAUGUCACUUCAUAUCAUCUCAUUUCAUCUCAUCAUUUUUCAUAUCAUUUUUCAUCUCAUCAUUUCAUCUCAAUUCAUUUCAUCUCAUCAUUUCAUCUCCUCAUCUCAUCAUUUCCUCCUUUCAUUUUAACAUUUCAUCUCAUCAUUUCUUCUCAUCUCAUUUCAAUUUCAUUUCAUUAUUUCAUUUCAUCUCAUUUCAUUAUUUCACCUAAUUUCAUUAUUUCAUCUCAUCUCAUCUCAAUUCAUCUCAUCUCAUUUCAUCUCAUCAUUUCAUCUCAUCAUUUUUCAUCUCAUCAUUUUUCAUCUCAUUUAAUCUCAUUUCAUUUCAUUUUGUCUCAUCAUUUCAGCUCAUCAUUUCAUCUCACCACAUCUCUUCAUUUCAUCAUUUCAUUUCAACAUUUCAUCGUUUCAUCUCAUCUCAUCUUUCAAUUUCAUUUCAAUAUCAUUUCAUUUCAUCAUUUCAUCUCAUUUCAUCUCAUCAUUUCAACUCAUUGCAUCUCAUCUCGUCAUUUCCAUUUCAUUAUUCCAUUUCAUCAUUUCAUUUCAUUAUGUCAUUUCAUCUCAUCACAUUUCAUCUCAUCUCAUUUCAUCUCAUCUCAUCAUUUCAUCUCAUCGUUUCAUCUCAUUUCAUCUCAUUAUUUCAUCUGAUUUCAUGUCAUCAUAUCAUGUCAUCAUUUCAUCUCAUUUCAUCACAUCUCAUCUCAUCAUUUAAUCUCAUCAUUUAAUCUCAUUUCAUCUCAUUUCUUCUCAUCUCAUCAUUGCCAUUUCAUUAUUUCAUCAUUACAUUUCAUAAUUUCCUUUCAUUAUUUCAUUUCAUUUCAUCUCAUUUCAUUAUUUCAUCUCAUUUUUCAUCUCAUCAUUUUUCAUCUCAUUUCAUCUCAUCAUUUCAUCUCAUCAUUUCGUCUUAUCAUCUCAUCUUAUUUCAUCAUUUCAUCUUAUCGUUCAUCUCAUUUCAUCUCAUCAUUUUAUCUCAUUAUAUCAUCUCAUCUCAUCUCAAUUUCAUUAUUUCAUAUCAUUUCAUUAUUUCAUUUCAUCUCAUCAUUUCUUCUCAUUUCAUCUCGUUUCAUCUCAUCAUUUCAUCCAUCAUCUCAUUUCAUCUCAUCUCAUCUCCUUUCAAUUUCUUUUCAAUUUUGUCAUUUUAUCUCAUCAUUUCAUCUCACCAUUUCAUCUCAAAAUUUCAUCUCAUCAUUUCAUCUCAGCAUUUCAUCAUUUCAUCUCAUCAUUUCAUCUCAUCUCAAGUAAUCUUAUCAUUUCAUCUAAGUGAAAUGAUGUAAUGGAAUCAUGAAAUGAAAUGGAUAGGUUGCCCUCAGUGAUGUUAAAUUUAAAAAUUGUUUGCUUUCAUGUAUUCAUUUUUAUAUUUAUAUGUAUUUAUAUUUAUAUUUACUUAUAUUUCUUUUUACUUAUUUUUAUUUAUAUUUUUACUUAUUUAUUGGUAGACAAGGUCCUGUUCUGUGGCCUAGGCUGGAAUGCAGUGGUGCAUUCACAGUUCACUGCAGCCUCGAGCAAACCUCCCACCUUAGCCUCCCAGGUAGCUGGGACCCCAGGUGCGCACCACCACACCUGGUUAAUAUUUUAUUAUUUG